UCGGGCGAUUGCCUUGAGUUUGAUCAUGGCUCAGAUUGAACGCUGGCGGCAUGCUUUACACAUGCAAGUCGAACGGCAGCGCGGGGCAACCUGGCGGCGAGUGGCGAACGGGUGAGUAAUAUAUCGGAACGUACCCAAGAGUGGGGGAUAACGUAGCGAAAGUUACGCUAAUACCGCAUACGAUCUAAGGAUGAAAGUGGGGGAUCGCAAGACCUCAUGCUCCUGGAGCGGCCGAUAUCUGAUUAGCUAGUUGGUGAGGUAAAGGCUCACCAAGGCGACGAUCAGUAGCUGGUCUGAGAGGACGACCAGCCACACUGGGACUGAGACACGGCCCAGACUCCUACGGGAGGCAGCAGUGGGGAAUUUUGGACAAUGGGCGCAAGCCUGAUCCAGCAAUGCCGCGUGAGUGAAGAAGGCCUUCGGGUUGUAAAGCUCUUUUGUCAGGGAAGAAACGGGACCGGCUAAUAUCUGGUUCUAAUGACGGUACCUGAAGAAUAAGCACCGGCUAACUACGUGCCAGCAGCCGCGGUAAUACGUAGGGUGCAAGCGUUAAUCGGAAUUACUGGGCGUAAAGCGUGCGCAGGCGGUUUUGUAAGUCUGUCGUGAAAGCCCCGGGCUUAACCUGGGAAUUGCGAUGGAGACUGCAAGGCUUGAAUCUGGCAGAGGGGGGUAGAAUUCCACGUGUAGCAGUGAAAUGCGUAGAGAUGUGGAGGAACACCGAUGGCGAAGGCAGCCCCCUGGGGUCAGAUUGACGCUCAUGCACGAAAGCGUGGGGAGCAA
rnacentral:rRNA from 1 species